rnacentral:tRNA from 1 species
GCCCCUAUCGUCUAGCGGUUAGGACAUCGGCUUUUCAAGCCGAGAACACGGGUUCGACUCCCGUUGGGGGUGCCA